AGAAAGUUACUUCGGUACAUCGGUGACAGGUGGUGCAUGGUUGUCGUCAGCUCGUGUCGUGAGAUGUUGGGUUAAGUCCCGCAACGAGCGCAACCCCUAUUGUUAGUUGCCAUCAUUCAGUUGGGCACUCUAGCGAGACUGCCGGUAAUAAACCGGAGGAAGGUGGGGAUGACGUCAAAUCAUCAUGCCCCUUAUGACCUGGGCUACACACGUGCUACAAUGGUUGGUACAACGAGUUGCGAGUCGGUGACGGCGAGCUAAUCUCUUAAAGCCAAUCUCAGUUCGGAUUGUAGGCUGCAACUCGCCUACAUGAAGUCGGAAUCGCUAGUAAUCGCGGAUCAGCACGCCGCGGUGAAUACGUUCCCGGGCCUC
rnacentral:rRNA from 1 species